AGUUUGAUCCUGGCUCAGGAUGAACGCUAGCGGCAGGCUUAACACAUGCAAGUCGAGGGGCAGCGCGUUGUAGCAAUACGAUGGCGGCGACCGGCGAAAGGGUGCGUAACGCGUGAGCAACCUGCCCGUAUCCGGGACAUAAGCGGUGGAAACGCCGUCUAAUUUCCCAUAACAACGAGGGCCGCAUGGUCCAUGUUUGAAAGAUGCGUCGGAUACGGAUGGGCUCGCGAGACAUUAGCUAGUCGGCGUGGUAACGGCACACCGAGGCGACGAUGUCUAGGGGUUCUGAGAGGAAGGUCCCCCACACUGGUACUGAGACACGGACCAGACUCCUACGGGAGGCAGCAGCGAGGAAUAUUGGUCAAUGGGCGUGAGCCUGAACCAGCCAAGUAGCGUGCAGGAUGACGGCCCUACGGGUUGUAAACUGCUUUUUCCGGGGAAUAACCGGUGCCACGUGUGGCACCCUGCAUGUACCCGGUGAAUAAGGACCGGCUAAUUCCGUGCC
rnacentral:rRNA from 1 species